rnacentral:RNase_P_RNA from 2 species
CGCUUUAGACGCUUCAUCGCUCUUUGCGAAAAGAGAGGAAAGUCCGGACACCAAAGGGCAUCGCACCGCGAGUUAAUGGCGGGCUGUUCGUUUUAAGACGCGCAGACAGAUAGGGCCGCAGAAAGUAAACCGCCUUGAGCAAUUGAGGUAAGGGUGAAAAGGUGGGGUAAGAGCCCACCAGCAGUUCAAGUAAUUGGCUGGCUUGGUAAACCUUGCGAGGUGAAAGCUCAAAUAAACCGAGGCUUGAGGGCGGCUCGCCUAAUCUCGGAGGGUAGAGCGUAUAGAUAAAUGAUGAAGGCCUAUUUCAGGGAAUUGUUGAAAUAGGAACAGAAUCCGGCUUACAAGCUAAAGUGCAAA